rnacentral:rRNA from 1 species
UACGUAGGCAGCAAGCGUUGUUCGGAAUUACUGGGCGUAAAGAGUGUGUAGGCGGUGCUCUAAGUCUGUUGUGAAAUCUCCCGGCUUAACCGGGAGGGUGCGGCGAAUACUGAGAUGCUGGAGUGCCGGAGAGGUAAGCGGAAUUCCUGGUGUAGCGGUGAAAUGCGUAGAUAUCAGGAGGAACACCUGCGGUGUAGACGGCUUACUGGACGGUAACUGACGCUGAGGCACGAAAGCGUGGGUAGCAAACAGG